rnacentral:tRNA from 1 species
UUUAAUAUGGCAGAGUUAGUGCAAUAGGCUUAAGUUCUAUAAACAAAGAUUUAUCUUUUAUUAGUA